UGGGGGAUAUUGCACAAUGGGCGAAAGCCUGAUGCAGCGACGCCGCGUGGGGGAUGAAGGCUUUCGGGUUGUAAACCUCUUUCGCUAUCGAACAAGGCCCGCUUAGGGUGGGUUGAGGGUAGGUGGAGAAGAAGCGCCGGCUAACUACGUGCCAGCAGCCGCGGUAAUACGUAGGGCGCGAGCGUUGUCCGGAAUUAUUGGGCGUAAAGGGCUUGUAGGCGGCUUGUUGCGCCUGCUGUGAAAACGCGGGGCUUAACUUCGCGCGUGCAGUGGGUACGGGCAGGCUUGAGGGUGGUAGGGGUGACUGGAAUUCCAGGUGUAGCGGUGGAAAGCGCAGAUAUCUGGAGGGACACCGAUGGCGAAGGCAGGUCACUGGGCCAUUACUGACGCUGAGGAGCGAAAGCAUGGGUAGCGAACAGG
rnacentral:rRNA from 1 species